rnacentral:lncRNA from 1 species
CGCGGCCGCUCCGAAUGGGGAGGAGGUAGUUGCAGGCCCUUGAGGGCAAAGGCGCCAGGACGCCGGUGUGAGUCUUGGCGUUGCCCCAGGGCCUCCCCGUCUGGGGGUCUGAGGACACCGAUGGAUGAAUACUGAGUAGUCCCCUACCUAAUUGUUGGAGGGGGGUCCACAACUAAGCAGUUUAUGCAGACCUGCCCCCAAAGUCCCAGGAAGCUGAGAGACCCAAGAAAGAGGCUUUUAACCAGCAGCUCAGCAGCUGAGCCUCAAACCGCG